ensembl:lncRNA
UUCAGAUUGUUCAUGACGUGAUUGUAAAAUAAAUCUUGUCAUUUCCCAGGGACAAAUGCAAAGGCCAUGGUUCUGUAAACAUUUCUCUUCUGGACAAAUCUGACCUAGGGACCUCGUGGCCAUUUUUUCCAACCACUUCCCAUAUCCUCCAUUGUGUCAGCACAGACCUUAACAUUUAGUUAAGUGAAUUGGGAGCAUGGAAGGAAUCCAACUUAAAACCUAUCAAUUUAGGUUUAUGAAAAUAUGGAAAAUAGAGCACUGAUCUAUGGAGGUGCAGGAUGCUGAGGUUGAAGAGCAUAGCCAAAGAAUGGGGAGCAGAAAUAGCUGGAACUUGCUUUGCAGGGAAGAAAAAAUGUCUGUGCAAGCUUGGCCUAACAUUUUAAGUAAUAAGUGUUUGUUGGCCCAGAUGAUAUUCACUGAAAGAGGCUAGGGAGUGUUCGAACAAGUAUAUCCAGAUCAGAGGGGUGGUAACCUAUUGCAAAGCAAUGCUCACAAGCCCCUGGGCAGACUGAGGGAGGACUCUUCUGUCAACACAGCUGGGUUUGGGAGGAGAUAUGUGUCCACAGACACAACUCCAUGCACUGUCACAGUGUGCACCAAUCUUGCCUCACACCUCUCUCCAAAAUGUAAGGUACUGUGUCUUCCAGCACUACUGUAGUGUGCAGUUUUGCCCUCCCAUGUGCCUGAAGGGGUGAACUGUACCUUAGCAUUUUUAUAACAGACUUUCUUUUGAGGGUAGGUAAUGGAUGUGUUUGGUAACCAGCAGAAGCCAUAGGUACAUCCGAAUACUGGGUGUGAGUGUGUUCUGUCAUUUUACUUGGACGAAUUACAGUAUUUAACUUGGAAUGGCCCACUCAUGUCUUUUGCUUGACUUUCAGGCUCUGAGCUGUGUGAAUUACUGACAUGGGAAUUUAAGAUGUCAUUUAUCAAAAAUCACAUACGUUUUCGUACGUGCAUACCUGUAUCCAAGGUGGGGAAACUACUUAACUGCAGUCUGAAUUUUCCAGUCAGUAUACAAAGUAAUUCACUUCUACUGCCACUAGAGGUAUAACAUUCACUUGAGCAAAUACCAAAGGAAACAUUUGGUUGGAAGCCUUGCCCAUAUUAAUAUUUCAUUUUUCAAAUAAUGCUUUUGAUCUGGAUUUUUUUGUUUUGUUUUGUUUUGGAGGCCUCAUCCUACUUUGCUUUUUCCUGUUGAGAACUCUUUCUUUUACUGAACUAAAGCUAACUAUUUGUGAGAUGGAAGGCCACUUUGUGAUUAGAGGGUGCAGAACUGAGUGCUUAUUUAAGCUGCAUAAAAAGCUAAAUUAGAAUGUCAGUCACCAUAUUGGUCACCUGUGACUGGCUCACAUGCAAGCUUGUACCAGCACAUUUGUAAAUCUUCUUUCACAUUGCUUGUUGUUCUCCUGGGUACUUAUGUUUAUUCUGAAAUGCAAACAUAAAAGAAUAAGAUUUGAAAUUAAUUUCUUUUGUAUCUAUUAUGACCAGCUUUCGUUUAGAUAGAAUCUCCCUUUUGAAACUCAUUAAAACAUCACGAAAGUCCCAUGUCUCUGCCAGGGCUGGCAGGAGGAUUGUGGCCUACCCUGGGAUUUAAUCACAGCUCUGCAGUAUGCGUACUGCUGGAGUGCAGGGCAGGGGAUGGUUCUGAACCGAGCUGUGGGGGUUUCUGUGAGAAAGCAGUGGUUGACUAAAUGAGGACUAACUGCAGCCCUGCUGGUGCACAGCCUCUAACUGUUUGAAGUUGGUAGCCUUUCUUUCAGAGCUUCCGACACACUCAGCAGCAGCCUGCCAGUGCCGUGCUGCAUGCUCACAGGCUGGAAGCAGUGAGUUGCUGGGGGAACUGCCCGCUGUGCCCCUGCACUGCGCAGGCCCCAGCAGCUCUCCUGCUGCAACCUGGCAUUUCCACAUGCUGCAUUGCACCUCCUCCUCACUUUUGCCCGAUAAGCACACUGAUGGCAGCUAAGAAAGAUGAGAGAAUGACAGCUUGAGAGUGAGUGUGGUGAAAGCUGGGUGCCUUGAGCUCUAGCUUGAGCUGCAAUUCCCUUCCAUCGCAGCAAACCCACAAGAGUCUUUCUGCCAUGUUCUCCUUUCAGGACUUGCCCACCUGACUCCUGGCUCAGCAAUGAGAAAUGGAAGUACAGGAAUUCCCAUGGUGAAUGCUGGAGGGAGAGAGCUCUCUUAAGAGUGAAGUUUAACAGCUAAGGGAACAGUUACAUAAAAAGGAUGAAUGAGCAACAACAAAAGAGGAAGGCUGGGAUCAUAUAAUCUGAAAACUGGAACCACCAUUUAUGAUUUCCUAUUUAGAUAUAUAAGGUGACUGUGAGUGCUUGCCACAUGGUUCAGUUUUAAUUUCUUCUGCCUGUGUUACUUAAUACAAGUGGGAACUGAGGAGAAGGGAAAAGGGGCUGUGUGGUCCUGGUAGGAAUCUACAAAUCAUAAGGACUGAGAUAUUAAAUCUUGAAGGGCACAGUCCAGUAUUAGUGACUCUCAUCCCAGGAGAACCAAGUUGCAGCAGUGCUGGGCAAUUUAGGACACCUUUGCCUUACCACUUACUUUGUAUUUUUUGUUUAGUGUGAUCCAAAGCUGAGAAUACAAAUGCUAUGGAAACCUUGAGUCAUCAGUGGCUCAUCUCAAACUUCUGCUGUGCUUGGCCAUCAUUCUGUUUUUGUGAUCUUUCUUCUUGAAUCUUCAAUCCUGUUUCCUUUCUUAUGCAUAUGUAAAGUCUGUGCUUAGCAUUGGUGACCCACCAUGUCCUGUUCUCUCCCCCACUCUGCUGCUUUCUUCUCCAUUUCCUUUUUGCCCUGCUGCAGAGUGGUAAAAAGAGGGAGCAGGAGGUGUACGUGUUGGGAGGAAAGGAGAUGUUGGAGAAAGGGUAUUGAAAGGAGCAACAGGAAAGGAUGAGAAUGUUUGGGAGUAAGGGACAGCUGCCUGUCAUUGGCACGGGGAUACUACAGAACAUAAAUUGUGCAAAGCUGGAGAAGUAUUGGGGUGGUGAAUGAGCAUGAUGUGAUAUGGGAAAUGGCUGACACAAAUUCCCAGUUAAGUUGGAUUUUCAUUGCAAACACAAUAGAUUUAGUUGAAUAGGGAAUGAUUAAAGUUUGAAAAUGUUUCUGACUGUUCUGAAAUUGUUUGGAAGAGAGCUGGCAUUAUUAUAGCUUUUUAAAAAAGGGUGGACAAAAUCAUAAUUGUCUCUUAUAAUUGUUGCACAUAAAGUUUUUUAUUAAAGUUCCUUUUUUUUUUUUUAAAUGAAACUGAAUGACUUCAAGGUGGAGUUUGUUUUUUCUUUUGUUUGCAUUUUUCCUUGUCUUUUUGCUCUCUCAGGUAAAUUGCUACUUGCACUUAAUUAUGGAGAGUCGUUGCUUGGAGGCCUUAAUAUGCCUCUACUGUUUUGUAGAGAGUAUCAAAUUAUUACUGGGGACUUUUUUUUUUGAUGGAGAAUGGAGGACAGCUGCAAUGUCUUCCCUUUCAAAACUGAAUAUGAGAAACAGAGGCCACAAUUAAAUGCAAAAACAUAAAUUACAUUUUCCCUUGUUUUAAUGUGAGAUUUGCACUUAACUGGAAAGAGUGACUGCAACAUUCUCUCUACCCAAUUAUUAGUAUCAUUGCUGCAGGGAAAAUGGUGGGAGGGUUGGUUGGAUUAUGCAGCUCUGCCAGAAGUACCUUCUACCUUAAGUGAAAACCGGCCAGAAGAUACAGAAAAGCCAAGGAGGAGAAUGCAGAGAAGUGUUCACUACUCAUUACUAACAUGCAACGCUUGGCCUUGUAG